AGCAAUGGCGCAGGCUAACACAUGCAAGUCGAGCGGUAGCACAGAGAGCUUGCUCUCGGGUGACGAGCGGCGGACGGGUGAGUAAUGUCUGGGAAACUGCCUGAUGGAGGGGGAUAACUACUGGAAACGGUAGCUAAUACCGCAUAACGUCGCAAGACCAAAGAGGGGGACCUUCGGGCCUCUUGCCAUCAGAUGUGCCCAGAUGGGAUUAGCUAGUAGGUGGGGUAACGGCUCACCUAGGCGACGAUCCCUAGCUGGUCUGAGAGGAUGACCAGCCACACUGGAACUGAGACACGGUCCAGACUCCUACGGGAGGCAGCAGUGGGGAAUAUUGCACAAUGGGCGCAAGCCUGAUGCAGCCAUGCCGCGUGUAUGAAGAAGGCCUUCGGGUUGUAAAGUACUUUCAGCGGGGAGGAAGGUGUUGAGGUUAAUAACCUCAGCAAUUGACGUUACCCGCAGAAGAAGCACCGGCUAACUCCGUGCCAGCAGCCGCGGUAAUACGGAGGGUGCAAGCGUUAAUCGGAAUUACUGGGCGUAAAGCGCACGCAGGCGGUCUGUCAAGUCGGAUGUGAAAUCCCCGGGCUCAACCUGGGAACUGCAUUCGAAACUGGCAGGCUAGAGUCUUGUAGAGGGGGGUAGAAUUCCAGGUGUAGCGGUGAAAUGCGUAGAGAUCUGGAGGAAUACCGGUGGCGAAGGCGGCCCCCUGGACAAAGACUGACGCUCAGGUGCGAAAGCGUGGGGAGCAAACAGGAUUAGAUACCCUGGUAGUCCACGCCGUAAACGAUGUCGACUUGGAGGUUGUGCCCUUGAGGCGUGGCUUCCGGAGCUAACGCGUUAAGUCGACCGCCUGGGGAGUACGGCCGCAAGGUUAAAACUCAAAUGAAUUGACGGGGGCCCGCACAAGCGGUGGAGCAUGUGGUUUAAUUCGAUGCAACGCGAAGAACCUUACCUACUCUUGACAUCCAGAGAACUUUCCAGAGAUGGAUUGGUGCCUUCGGGAACUCUGAGACAGGUGCUGCAUGGCUGUCGUCAGCUCGUGUUGUGAAAUGUUGGGUUAAGUCCCGCAACGAGCGCAACCCUUAUCCUUUGUUGCCAGCGGUCCGGCCGGGAACUCAAAGGAGACUGCCAGUGAUAAACUGGAGGAAGGUGGGGAUGACGUCAAGUCAUCAUGGCCCUUACGAGUAGGGCUACACACGUGCUACAAUGGCGCAUACAAAGAGAAGCGACCUCGCGAGAGCAAGCGGACCUCAUAAAGUGCGUCGUAGUCCGGAUUGGAGUCUGCAACUCGACUCCAUGAAGUCGGAAUCGCUAGUAAUCGUAGAUCAGAAUGCUACGGUGAAUACGUUCCCGGGCCUUGUACACACCGCCCGUCACACCAUGGGAGUGGGUUGCAAAAGAAGUAGGUAGCUUAACCUUCGGGAGGGCGCUACCACUUUGGAUGCGGGGC
rnacentral:rRNA from 1 species